GACGAACGCUGGCGGCGUGCUUAACACAUGCAAGUCGAACGGAAAGGCCCUGCUUUUGUGGGGUGCUCGAGUGGCGAACGGGUGAGUAACACGUGAGUAACCUGCCCUUGACUUUGGGAUAACUUCAGGAAACUGGGGCUAAUACCGGAUAGGAGCUCCUGCUGCAUGGUGGGGGCUGGAAAGUUUCGGCGGUUGGGGAUGGACUCGCGGCUUAUCAGCUUGUUGGUGGGGUAGUGGCUUACCAAGGCUUUGACGGGUAGCCGGCCUGAGAGGGUGACCGGCCACAUUGGGACUGAGAUACGGCCCAGACUCCUACGGGAGGCAGCAGUGGGGAAUAUUGCACAAUGGGCGGAAGCCUGAUGCAGCAACGCCGCGUGCGGGAUGACGGCCUUCGGGCUGUAAACCGCUUUCGCCUGUGACGAAGCGUGAGUGACGGUAAUGGGUAAAGAAGCACCGGCUAACUACGUG
rnacentral:rRNA from 1 species